rnacentral:rRNA from 1 species
UACGUAGGGUGCGAGCGUUGUCCGGAAUUAUUGGGCGUAAAGGGCUCGUAGGCGGUUUGUCGCGUCGGGAGUGAAAACCUUGGGCUUAACUCAGGGCUUGCUUUCGAUACGGGCAGACUAGAGGUAUGCAGGGGAGAACGGAAUUCCUGGUGUAGCGGUGAAAUGCGCAGAUAUCAAGAGGAACACCUGCGGCGAAGGCGGGUUGCUGGGCCGACACUGACGCUGAGGCGCGAAAGCGUGGGGAGCAAACGGG